GCUAUUGAUGAUGGGUUGUGCCUAUUCUGUUAUGAUUUUUGCUAGUGCUAUUUGCUAGAUUGUUAAUAUGCUAUGGUUAUUUGAAUAUGCUAGGCUGAUCAUUCUGGUGAAAUUUGUAAUGAGGGACAUCAUGAUGAUGGAAAUGGUAAUGAGGGAAAUGGUAAUGAGGGAAGAAAGAAGCUUGAUUUUUGUGAUUUAUACGAGGCAUCACAUAGAUUGAGAGAUACAUACGAAUAGAUUGAUCCAAUAUGCCAAGAGAAACAUGCGAUGAUUGUGGCAAUGCAUGACGUUGCAGCUCUGUCCAGCACUCCACUAUCAGGUGAAGAAAUUUCAAAGGAGUGCCUCGGGGAGUCGAAGACAAAGAACUAUAUAAGAGGAUUCGGGAAUGGGCCAAAGCCAUCUACCUAUCUUUCCAAAUCCAAGUCACAGUUAGCACGCCAGGACCAACUGUAAAAACUUCAAAUUGAGUUGGAUUUAAUUCGUGAAGAACAAAGAAGGGAGAGGGAAGAGGAGAAGACGCGAUGGGAGGAAAAGCAAAAAAGACACGAGGAGGAGCGAGAUGAGGAGAAGAGGCAGUGGGAGGAGGCACAAAGGCGACACGAUGAGGAGCGGUUUGUACUUCUAAAAGAGAUGGAUGUAUUCAAAAGCUUUAUGAUGAGCCAAUUGCAGAAUGGUGGACGAGGCAGCAUGGGAGCAGGGUGAUGGUGGCUCA